UACAGAGGGGGCAAGCGUUGUUCGGAAUUACUGGGCGUAAAGGGCGCGUAGGCGGCCUGCUAAGUCAUACGUGAAAUCCCUCAGCUUAACUGGGGAACUGCGUGUGAUACUGGAUGGCUUGGAUUUGGGAGAGGGAUGCGGAAUUCCAGGUGUAGCGGUGAAAUGCGUAGAUAUCUGGAGGAACACCGGUGGCGAAGGCGGCAUCCUGGACCAAUAUUGACGCUGAGGAGCGAAAGCCAGGGGAGCAAACGGG
rnacentral:rRNA from 1 species